GUAAGCUUUUAUCCCCUGUAUUUGUACUAAUAUAUUUGCAGAAAAAUAAAAACGACAAAAAAAAUUAAUAAAACAAACAAAACCCUCACCAGUAACCACCGCCCUUACUCAUAAACAGCGGCAGCAAUACCCAAAUUCUUCACCGGCGGCUGCGGAGGCGACGGAGGAAGUCCAGAAGAGAAAUUCGUCAACGGAGCGUCAUCUUCGAAAUUCAACGAGUAACUCAAAGGAUCAUAACGGAACUCAGCAGAUGAGUGUCGUUUAUGGCGGUUUCCGUUCCCGUUACUGAUGAAAUUGAAGAUCGUACGGCACUUGUCUUUGAUAUCAGGCUUGAUCCAGAUCAGCGACGGGUUUUCAUCGGAGGACGACGGCUGCCGUGACGGCGGAGGGUGGUAAUCGAGGGAGUGAAGUUUGGUGGUGGUGUUGCGGUGGGUGAAACAGCAGGAGAAACAGAGUGAGUUUUUGAGUUUUUGUUUGAGUGAUGGUGGAGAAUUGGGUAUGGUGAAUUCGUCGUCCUCCAUUGGAGAGAGUGUGAGAAGCUUGUAAGUGAGUGAGUG
rnacentral:misc_RNA from 1 species